UCUUGACUCCAGCAUAAUUGCACUUAACAAAGCCUUGUAUACCACAGGCUGACCCAAACUGGACUGCUAAGCGUAAGGAGACCGGUUUUUCAGUAGACAGUGAGACCACAUCUUUG